rnacentral:lncRNA from 1 species
CAAUCCUUGUCAAUUUCCUUAUCUUUUGCUCUUUUCUUUAUAAAAAAAAUAGAAGUUGGAUAUUUUCACUCUCAUUCCUCUCAAAAAAGAAUAUGAUGCUGCGCAUUUUAUUAAGAAAUUACAGGAGUAUGGUGAAUGCUAAAAAAGAAUUUAAGAACAAUCCUCUUCUGGUCCCUGUCAUUGCUGCAAGGUCAUAUAAUUACAAAAGAUUUGUGCCCAGAUCCAC